UGGUGGGAUCCAUGCCUGGUUCAAUUUAAUAAAUGUGAGCUUGUCCACAUUGGCCGUGGACAGAUGGCUGCGCUUAUCUGUGAUAACCUCGUGUCUGUGAUAACCUCGACAACGCAUUCGGAUGUCUGCCCUAUCAACUUUCGAUGCUAUUUUCCGCGCCUACCAUGGUGACCACUGGUAACGGGGAAUCAGGGUUCGAUUCCAGAGAGGGAGCCUGAGAAACGGCUACCACAUGCAAGGAAGGCAGCAGACGCGCAAAUUACCCACUCCCGACGCAGCGAGGUAGUGA